rnacentral:tRNA from 1 species
GCGGGAUUAGUUAAAUGGUAUAACGUCAGUUUUCCAAACUGAGAUCGGGAGUUCGAUUCUCCCAUCCCGCACAA